AGCGAACGCUGGCGGCAGGCCUAACACAUGCAAGUCGAACGAACUCUUCGGAGUUAGUGGCGGACGGGUGUGUAACACGUGGGAACGUUCCUAUAGGGUCGGAAUAACUCAGGGAAAGUUGUGCUAAUACCGAACGGGCCCUUCGGGGGAAAGAUAUAUCGCCUUUAGAGCUGCCCGAGUCUGAUUAGCUAUUGGGGUAGGUAAUGGCUCACUAAGGGGACGAUCAGUAGCUGGUCUGAGAGGAUGAGCAGCCACAGUGGGACUGAGACCCGGCCUAAACUCCUACGGGAGGGAGCAGUGGGGAAUCUUGCGCAAUGGGCGAAAGCAUGACGCAGCCAUGACGCGUGAAUGCUGAAGGUCUUAGGAUUGUAAAGUUCUUUCAACGGGGACGAUAAUGACGGUACCCGAAGAAGAAGCCCCGGCUAACUUCGUG
rnacentral:rRNA from 1 species